UGUUAGAUUGCCUUAUAAGGACUGUUAUAUUUUGCUGCCGCUGCUUCAUAAUGUAACUCUGUCAUGUUAGCUGAUAUAUUAUUUAUUCUUAAAACUUAAAUUAAUUCUCUUUUUUUUUUCACUGUUACCUUAAAUUUAUAAUGAAAUCUAAAUAAUUCGUUUACCAUUGUUUUAAGUUGUUGAUACGUGGACACUAAAAUAACAUUAAAUAUGCCAUGAGUUGUUGCACAUUUUGUGGAAACAAAUGAAGUGGAGGUUUUGCCUCAAAAAUGGUUAGUGCAAAGAGGCAAUGCUCUUUACCCUCAUUAUGGCAGAGUGAAAUUGGAGAAAGCCAUAAAAAAUGAAGUAGAGCCUCAAGAUUGUCGGAAGUCAUAUAAAGUUAACUUGAUGAUUGGUAAGAGUUAUCCAACUUUUUUAAAAGCCAGUUUACGAUCAAAUAAGGCCUGUGUGACUUCAGAUACCUCGGACUCGGAAUGUGAGUUGCCAAGAAAAAGGCUGAGAAAAGCACGAAUUGUAUCAUCAAGCAUCUUAGGAGAAUCGGAAAGUUCCUUAGAAUUUCGAGAAAAACCAACUGAGGAAGAUCAAAUAACUGUUGGUCAAAAUGUGCAGUUUGAAUACCCUACUACUUCAUGUAGGACCACAUGUACCAAUUUUCGAAAUGAGACCCUGUCAACACCAACUUCUGGUCACUUUACUCCACUCAAAGGUAGUUCUCUUAUUGGUGACAAACAGACUGAUACUUCCGCACGCCAUAAGAUGUCGGUAGAGGGUGAAAAAUACCAACAUAUAUGGAGUCAUUCGCUAAGCAAGUACUAGGAUACUCAGUGAAGCAUAAGCGCAUACUGGAAGAUCACGGACAAGAUCUACAAUACAUUAAAAGAAAGUUGGAUUAACAUACCGAAAUGUUGGGCAGGCAUAACUGGGUUUUGGCAAGUGCAUUAUUGUUCAAAUGAGUAGAGUGGGAGGGAGAAAUUAUAAAAAGACGGUAAGGAGGAUUUGCUAGAAAAUUAUGGACGAUGCAUGAUACAUGCUAGGCGUCAGCAUGSUGAGUCAUWAWGGMAAGAAGUCAUUCAUGUCCUCAAUAUUGUUUAGCCUCUUCGUGGGGAUUAUAAACACCAUACAAGCGCCCUUUGUUUCAACGUAAACGCCAAGUCAUAAGAGAACAGUCUUUUGGCCCCACCAGAAGCGCACGAUGUGGGAGAAAAAUGAAGAGCAGUUACAUAUAUUUUUUUAAAGUUAAGUUUAGUUAUCAGUGUAUUUUUGUACUCUUUAUACCCCCUUGCAGACCUUGCACUCACUCUCUUACUUUAAAAGUAUUUACCUUUAUCUUGUUGUCUAGCGUUAAGAUUAGUGAAUAAACGUCUUGUUGCGCGAUAA